GAUCCCGGCAAUCCAAUAUGGCGAUUUAACAGUAGAUCAAAAUAUUUGGCAUUCGUUCGCUAAAAAUAGGCACCUCCUUCAGUUUAUGCUAUAUAGCUCGGACAGUCACUAGGCAAUACUUAUCGAUCAUCGAGACAUUCUCCGAACUUUUAACGGUUGCCCAAGUCAUUUUACCAUUUGCAAUUUCGCUUUGAGUUUUAAGCAUAACUGCUCACCCAAGAAGUAUCAUUCACAAUCAUUCGCUCGUUUAACUAUCUUGUCGAAUUUCAACAUUUCCAAACUACAGGACAGCUGAGGAGAUCCAAGGUGAUCAAAACGUAAAGAGGAUAUACUCAAACAGUUUCCGAUGGAAGAAAACGCAAGGGGAAAAACUCUUUGCGUGUUUAUCCUUGGAGGACUUUCACGCCAAGAAGGAGCUUGAAAGGAAGAAGGUUGACCAUAUGAAGCUGGCAGAAAAUGUCGUUUGCAGCUUGCCAGUCAGCGACGCCUCGAUGAUGAAAGCUAAAAUAAAGUUAAUGAAUGAAGAUGAAGAGAAUAUCUUGGAGAUUGGAGAGAUGCACGUGGACCUCUUAACAUUUCAGGGCGGCGAAACACGUGCUGGGGAGGAGCACGAGUUUAAAGACAAUGAACCAGUUGAACAAGAUAUAGCAACUUAGGGUACAAUCUGUAUUUUAAGAUGAUCUUAGGUUUAAGGUGGAAGAGAAGGCGACUAGUUUGUAAAGACAUUUUAGCUUUGUUUUAAUGCAAUUAAUUUUCUCUCAACUCUACUAGAGAAUGUCAAAAAAUGGUAAAAUCGUCGAGAUUCAGCGUCACCCAUUCUCAGCUAAUAUGGAAAAUUGAUUUUGAACUUGUAAUUGUCUUUCUCCCAGACAUUUUAACGAGAAGACCGGUUGGUUUGUUUAUAGUGAUUUUUUAUCUUUCUAUUUGUUAUUCCAGCUAAAACUAGGCCGUGGCUGUGACGAGAGGCAGUAGGUUAGGUAAACUUUGAGCGGCAUUGAUCCCUUUGCUUCGUUGCUCGUGUUUUUAAGAUUAAAAUUGAGUAAGGAAGAUGAUUUUGUAGGAAGGCAUUCUAAAAGCUUUUUCUAGAACAUGAACCACCAUUUGAACAAAUUUUAUCAAGCGCUCCAGGAAAGGAAAACGGUGCAGUGUGGACAUUGUUGUGAAACGAAAUAAAAAGGUAUUUUAGUCGGCAGGGCAGAGAGCUACAAAAGAACUAACGAGCUGAUCCAAGAUUCCAAUCAUUUAAGAGAGACUCAUUUUUUCUGAAGGUUUUUGUUGUCGCUGCUAAAUUAUACACUUCGCAGUUGGUAUUUAACCAAAUUAAAGUUGAAGGUGUCACUGGUAUGCAUCCUCAAGAAAUUCUUCCUUUUAUGGCGUUUUAUUCAGUGUUGAGUUGUGAUUAAAUAUCUUUUGAAUGUUUGAACGAGAUAGGAACAACCUUAGAUGUACGAGUCGCUUUGCAAUUGUGUGGGAUACAGCUGUGUAAAGGCUUUUCAAAAAAUACGUUCCUUAUAGCGUAACAGAAAAAGGUACCAUAUUACAAACGUCUUAUAGGAAGACAAAUGCGUAAAUUUACUAAUAUAAUGAUCUAUUAUGCUUUAUUUCUAGAUUUCUUGCUUGAAAGGUAGGGUAUUGUUUUGAAUAUCAAUCGUGUAUUUUGCAGCCAUUUGUUAAUAGGUUUUGAAGAAGAAAUAUAGUUCAAUUGGCAUGAAAAAAAGAAAUUAAAUAAAACACAAAAACACCAGGUGAUGAUUUUUUUAAAGAAAAGCUGCUGUGCCAAGUUAGGAAAUCAGGAUGUAUAUUGUCGUAAAUGGCCAAGCACUUCCAAAAGGUUAAACAUGAAUUUUGAACAUGAACUUUGAACUUUGAACUGAAUAACAAGGAAAUAGAGUGCUUGAGCUCCUCCCCACCCUCAAAAUAAAAAAAAGUUUUGCAAAGAGAAUAAAAAGGCAUGUUUAAACAUUUUGGUCAGAGGAAAAUAACCAUACAACUGCAUGCAUUGCUUUAUGGAUUAAAGAAAAACACGAGCGUUUUGGUGUCAGGAUAAUUUUGAGUUUUUCUUUUUUUUAAUGCAAAUGCCUUGAGUGGAGCAUGAGUAAAACUCGAAGUUCUCCCUUAUACUCGUUAGGCUGCGAAGCCCGGCAUAAAUUAGGUUACUAAUCUAGUCCCUGUAAAGGAUUGAAUUUGAUCCCAAAUGCAUGUGUGACAUUGUGGAAUAAAUGUUAUUUGAAACAGUGGAUGAUGACGAAUUGAUCAUCGCCGGUAAAUUAGCUGUAUUUCGGUGCCACCACAGAUACCGACGCCUGAAAGAAAUUAGGCGAGCUGUGCUUGAACGCUGCGUAAUUCUACUAACUUAGCCUCCAAGCAGCAUGGUAGGGGAAAACAAGGAAAACAAAAAACAAAAAACAAAAACAAAAAAACAAAAACAAACAAAAAACAAAACAAAACAAAAAACAAAACAAACAAAACAAAACAAAACAAAACAAAAAAAAAACAAAACCAAUAAAAAAGACCACAACUAUGUUACUCGAAUCGAUCUAGUUUGACAAAAGCUUUUAGACGAAUUUUUGUGUUGAGUGUGAUUAAACAUAUUGUUGAAAAUGUGAAUCGGCACUAGCACAUAAAAUACUCUCAAUGGACCAUGCUAGUUGAGAAUGGGUGUUAGCAAUGAUAACAUAGGUUAAA
rnacentral:misc_RNA from 1 species